rnacentral:rRNA from 1 species
UACGUAGGGUGCAAGCGUUAAUCGGAAUUACUGGGCGUAAAGCGUGCGCAGGCGGUCCGUUAAGACAGAUGUGAAAUCCCCGGGCUUAAACCUCGGGGAACUGCAUUUGUGACUUGGCGGACUCGAGUAUGGCAGAGGGGGGUAGGAAUUCCACGGGUGUAAGCAGUGAAAUGCGUAGAGAAUGUGGGAGGAAUACCGAU